CCUACGGGAGGCAGCAGUGGGGAAUAUUGCACAAUGGGGGAAACCCUGAUGCAGCAACGCCGCGUGAGUGAAGAAGUAUUUCGGUAUGUAAAGCUCUAUCAGAAGGGAAGAAGAUGACGGUAACUGAAUAAGAAGCCCCGGCUAACUACGUGCCAGCAGCCGAGGUAAUACGUAGGGGGCAAGCGUUAUACGGAUUUACUGGGGGUAAAGGGAGCGAAGACGGCAGGGCAAGUGUGGAGUGAAAGCCCGGG
rnacentral:rRNA from 1 species